GUCAUAGAUGAUGAUGAGAUGAUUCAAUAUAUUCUGGCUGGCCUUGAUUUUGAGUACAAUGCUUUUGUUACUUCUACUCUUGGGCGGGUUGGAUCAAUCUCUCUGAGCGAUCUAUACUCCCAACUGUUGGCAUAUGAUA